GCGAACACGUUGAUGAGAACUAGUACUUCAACAAGGUCUGGCCUAGAGAGUCGGUGGUUGGUGCAAACCGAUCCAGCUUGUGAAGGAAUCCAUCUCGGAGUGGCAAGGUAUAACUUGUCCGGUCCCCGUCCCGUUAUGACGGAAGAGUGGACAGAUAGCUGUGAUUCAGGAGCUUCUGUCAACGAGGGUGGCAACGCGGGUAACCAGCACUCGUCCCUUAU
rnacentral:ncRNA from 1 species